ACAUGUGGACAGUAUGGGAGUGAGAAUGUUGGCAUGAGUAGCGAGAUGUGGGUGAGAAUCCCACAGGCCGUAAACCCAAGGUUUCCAGGGGAAGGGUCGUCCGCCCUGGGUUAGUCGGGACCUAAGCGGAGGCCGAAAGGCGUAGGUGAUGGACAACAGGUUGAUAUUCCUGUACUACCGAUAACCGUUUGAGAGAAGGGAUGACACAGUAGGAUAAGCUAAG
rnacentral:rRNA from 1 species